rnacentral:tRNA from 1 species
AAAUAAGAAGCAAUUUUGCAUUUAAUUUCGACUUAAAAGAAAGAGUAAUUUACUCCUUAUUUAACUAAAAUUUAUUA